rnacentral:lncRNA from 1 species
AUCAUACCCGAUAUUCAGAGCGCCGGAGAUAGAAGCGGCGGCAGCCAUAAAGUGGAGAAUUUCCAUCCAUUUGCUGUCUCCUUCGCUACCGCUCCGUGGGGUCAACAUUACGAAAUUAGCCAGGUUCAGUUCUGACUAUAGCUGCAACCUAUCUCAUAUUUGGCCGCCCUCGAUCACAAACUAGAAAUUUGAUAAGAUAAAGUAAAGAAAGAAUUUCGGGCUAGGUUCAAGGUAUGCCAGUUGAUUGAAAAAGAGACUCUACUUUCAAGAUUCAAGAUUAGGUAAGUGUUCAGUGUACUAAGGUACAAGAUCGAAAAAAAAGCGCGGAUAGCAAAUUCCUUAGGCUCAUAAAGUGGAGAAUUUACAUCCAUUUGUUGUCUCCUUCGCUACCUAAAUUAGCCAGGUUCAGUUCUUACUAUAGCUGCAACCUAUCUCAUAUUUGGCCGCCCUCGAUCACAAACUAGAAAUUUGAUAAGAUAAAGUAAAGAAAGAAUUUCGGGCUAGGUUCAAGGUAUGCCAGUUGAUUGAAAAAGAGACUCUACUUUCAAGAUUCAAGAUUAGGUAAGUGUUCAGUGUACUAAGGUACAAGAUCGAAAAAAAAGCGCGGAUAGCAAAUUCCUUAGGCUAGAUAGAGUGGUGGUUGUAAAUUACUAGGUAGCCAUACAACACUCGGCCCAAGCAAGGCCCAAAAGCCCCAUGCCUUUUUUCUUAUAAAAGCCUCCUCAUCAACUCUCUAUCUUUCGAACCCACCUCACCGAGCUUAACGCCCUGUGGACUUUUUUACG